rnacentral:rRNA from 1 species
AGCUUGUUGGUGAGGUAAUGGCUCACCAAGGCAACGACGGGUAGCCGGCCUGAGAGGGAGAUCCCCCACACUGGUACUGAGACACGGACCAGACUCCUACGGGAGGCAGCAGUGAGGAAUAUUGGUCAAUGGGCGCAAGCCUGAACCAGCCAUGCCGCGUGCAGGAUGACGGUCCUAUGGAUUGUAAACUGCUUUUAUACAGGAAGAAACACUCCCUCGUGAGGGAGCUUGACGGUACUGUAGGAAUAAGGAUCGGCUAACUCCGUGCCAGCAGCCGCGGUAAUACGGAGGAUCCAAGCGUUAUCCGGAAUCAUUGGGUUUAAAGGGUCCGUAGGCGGCUUAAUAAGUCAGUGGUGAAAUCCCUACGCUUAACGUAGGAACGGCCAUUGAUACUGUUAGGCUUGAAUUAUUAGGAAGUAACUAGAAUAUGUAGUGUAGCGGUGAAAUGCUUAGAGAUUACAUGGAAUACCAAUUGCGAAGGCAGGUUACUACUAAUGGAUUGACGCUGAUGGACGAAAGCGUGGGUAGCGAACAGGAUUAGAUACCCUGGUAGUCCACGCCGUAAACGAUGGAUACUAGCUGUUGGGAGCAAUCUCAGUGGCUAAGCGAAAGUGAUAAGUAUCCCACCUGGGGAGUACGUUCGCAAGAAUGAAACUCAAAGGAAUUGACGGGGGCCCGCACAAGCGGUGG